UGGGGAGCAUCUUUGAGAGGCUCCAAACAACUCCGCAUUUAUCGAUCGAACCCCUCAAACCCAACCCCAACAUCCCCACGACGACGUGUGAGCUCUUAUCCCCCAUUCCCAACUCAUUCUUUUCUCAUAUAUAUAGGAACCACAUAUUGCCAAGCAGGUUAAGCUAAUUCAACAUCGUCAAAACACCCUCCUCUAGUUCUUUCUUUCUUUCUUUCUUCUUCACCCUCAUCGAAAUUCUCCAACUUCUAUCAUGGAGGUCAUGGAAGGUGACAACGUGAGAACAUUCGACAUGGGUGCACUUAGGUCAAGUCUUCCCCCGAACCGGAGAGGGUUGUCAAGGUACUACUCUGGAAAAGCACGAUCAUUUACGUGCAUGGCCGAUGUCCGAUGCCUAGAAGAUCUCAAGAAACCGGAACAUCCCGAUGCGAAAAAGAGGAAGAAACAUACGGAGAAGAAGAACUUUCCUGUUCCAGCUCCAUAUCCUCCUCUUGCAUGUCGACGAGUUUCUAGUACCACCCAGUUUGCUACACCCUGUGUUGGUGUGUGAAGAUAUAUCCAUGAGAAAGAAAAAGAAAACAAAAAGAAAAAACAUAGAAAGGCAUUCCAUUGUUGUUCGGCUAUUACUCAAGUUUAGCAUCCAGUUUAGUUUCCUAAAAACCAUGUUCGUUUUGGAGUGCAAAACGCUGAACUGGAUAGUACAUUAUCCUUCUUUCUUGGCAA